rnacentral:tRNA from 7 species
AGGGGAGUAGCCAAGUGGUUAAGGCACCGGGUUUUGAUCCCGGCACGCGAAGGUUCGACUCCUUCCUCCCCUGCCA